rnacentral:lncRNA from 1 species
AGCUGACGUCUGACUCUUGCAAUUAAUUCAAAUUGGGCUGAGCCUGGGCUUUGGGGAGGGAUGGCUGGUGGGCGGUGGUGAAAGGCAGAAUGAGCAGUGGUGCACCGAGCUGAGGGUGGCACACGGCUCUGCUCCCUGUUCAAUUCGUGCUAUCAUCACUAAACCCUGUGUACGCAGAGAGUGUAUUUCAUGUUCUCAGGGGCUUUGCAGUCAAUUGAAUGCUUCUAAAGCUCUUCCUCCCUGCUUUCCUUGCUCUGGACGCUGAAGCACGCUCUUCCCUGGGAUCGGGAGCCAGGGACUGUUGGUGCCUGUACCAGAGGCACAGCCCAAGAGG